rnacentral:rRNA from 1 species
GACAGAGGGUGCAAACGUUGUUCGGAAUUACUGGGCGUAAAGCGUGUGUAGGCGGCUUUGUAAGUCGGAUGUGAAAGCCCCGGGCUCAACCCGGGAAGUGCACUCGAUACUGCGAAGCUUGAGUACUGGAGAGGUUGGUGGAAUUCUCGGUGUAGAGGUGAAAUUCGUAGAUAUCGAGAGGAACACCGGUGGCGAAGGCGGCCAACUGGACAGAUACUGACGCUGAGACACGAAAAGCGUGGGGAGCAAACAGG